AUUUAUAUAGUUUAAAAAAAAAACAUUACAUUUUCAUUGUAAAAUUAAAAAUAAAAUUUAUAAAUU
rnacentral:tRNA from 1 species